ensembl:misc_RNA 7SK 7SK RNA
GGAUCUGAGGACAAGCUGGCUAAGACAUCUGUUAGCCCACUAAUCACCAAGGUUAAUUUGGCUGAUCUGGCAGGCUAAGCAGAUGUCACCUUCCUCCCUCACCAUUCCAUAUGCAUGCCUCCUGAAGCGGUGCACUUGGUCAAAGAGGACAACCUUGCCCAAUAGAGGAGGACCACUCUUCCAUCAAAGGUAUACAAGUAGCUGUGCUCCCCUGAGAGAACUUUCAAACAAGCUCUCAAUCAGUCCAUUUCUCUUAAUAAUAACUCAACAAGCAUUAAAAGUAUUGUAUUGUUAAAUAUUAGUAAAAUUU